rnacentral:lncRNA from 1 species
CGUUUUACAAAAUACAUGGAAAAGCUCUUCUUUUAUAGUUGAAAUUUAUCAUUUCAUUUCUCAAUUGAAUUCAUAUUUUAUCCUUUACGCUUGAAAGCUUUUUACUAAUCACUCUGCAAUGAAAGUGCCGUCCACUGGAGAGUACCUGGACUCUGUGUUUGAAGAUCUCUGUCUAAGAAAUUCACCAUAGGAAUGUGAGCUACAUCUGGCAUGACCUCAGUUGGUGUCAAGAUUUCAAAAGCCCAUGUAAUACGUCACACAUUCCUGACUCAAAAUCCUUGCCUACCAUGUAAAGGGGUUUGCACGUUACAAAGAGCCUGGAAGAAACGGCCGGGGCACACUCUGAAGAUUUCCCUAAAAUGAAGCUCUCGGUAAGAUAAAAGAACGCCUGCCUCUUUCAUCACGGACAUGUAGAGAGAGAGUGGAUCUGGAAAACAAAUUUAUACUUUUUCUGGAAAUGGGAAUCACUCAUAAAACACUUCAUGAGUUCAAGGUCCCCUUGUUGCCAUUGUGCCUCCUAUUCAUAUGGACUGUGAACAACCCAGAGGUAGUUGGACUAGUGGCAUGUUAUUGGAUGACUCUGCUUCAAAUUUGAAGAAUUUAUGAAAACUCUGAGUGCCAGACAAAAAUAGACAUUAAAAGGGUGAGAUUAAUAUUCAGCAAUCACAAUGUAUAAUUAAAGAGAAAAUGAAAUGAACUGUUUAUGCAGGCAUAGUGAGUUGCUUUAAUAUCACAAUAGACCUGAAAGUCUGUGGCAAGUUUUAAAGAUUUUGCUCAGAAGUGUAGAGCCCCUCUGAGGUGCUCUCACAAG